UCAGCAGGCGGAACGCCGUCUGCAGCUGGGGCCCGAGUCUACGCUAUCCCUCGGUCCCGGGCUCUCCGCCUCGCAUCACGCACACGCGGGGCUCCCCGGCCCUCCGGGACCCCCUCCCGCCUCUCCCGCGGCCGCUUCCGAAUGAGACGAGCGCCGCGCUGGGGGUCGCGGGCCCGGGGGCGCUGGCGCUACGGCCCGGGGGGCGGCGCGGGCAAAGCUGCGCGUCCUUGAAGGCUGCGGUGCGGCCUGGGUCUCUGCCUCCGGGCCCCUGCCGGGGGCCGGGCUGAGCGCGCGGGGAGCCGGACCAUGGAUGUGGAAGAAGCCUUCCAGGUGGUGGGGGAGAUGGGCAUCUACCAGAUGUACCUGUGCUUCCUGCUGGCCGUGCUGCUGCAGCUCUAUGUUGCCACAGAGGCAAUCCUCAUUGCACUGGUCGGGGCAACGCCUUCCUACCACUGGGACCUGGCAGAGCUUCUGCCUAAUCAAAGCCAUAGCAACCAGUCAAGGACGGAAGACCAAGCCUUUGGGGAAUGGUUCCUGACAGCCAAUGGAAGCGAGAUGCACAAGCAUGUCCAUUUCAGCGGCAGCUUCACUUCCAUCGCCUCCGAGUGGUUCUUAAUUGCCAGCAAGUCAUACAAAGUGAGUGUAGCCAGCUCAUUUUUCUUCAGUGGUGUGUUUGUGGGAGUGAUAUCAUUUGGCCAACUUUCGGAUCGUUUGGGGAGGAAAAGGGUCUAUCUAACAGGUUUUGCCCUUGACAUCCUGUUUGCCAUUGCAAAUGGAUUUUCCCCUUCAUAUGAGUUAUUUGCCAUAUCGCGAUUCCUAGUGGGAAUGAUGAAUGGAGGGAUGUCGUUGGUGUCCUUUGUGUUGUUGAAUGAAUGUCUGGGCACUGCCUACUGGGCACUAGCAGGAUCCAUCGGUGGGCUGUUUUUUGCAGUGGGAAUUGCCCAGUGUGCUCUGCUAGGAUACUUCAUUCGCUCCUGGAGAACACUUGCAGUUGUGGUUAACUUGCAGGGAACGGUGGUCUUUCUCUUGUCAUUAUUCAUUCCUGAGUCGCCCCGAUGGUUAUACUCCCAAGGCCGGUUACAGGAAGCAGAAGAUGCCCUCUACCUCAUUGCCAGGAGGAACCGGAAGCUCAAGUGCACUUUUUCGCUGAUGCCCCCAGGAGAGGGGAUCUCCAAAGAGACUGGCAGUUUCCUGGAUCUCUUCCGCUACAGGAUCCUCUUGGGGCACACUCUGAUCAUGAUGUUCAUCUGGUUCGUGUGCAGCUUGGUUUAUUAUGGCCUAACCCUCAGUGCAGGAGAACUGGGUGGGAAUAUUUAUGCCAACCUGGCCCUGUCAGGGCUGGUAGAGAUUCCCUCCUAUCCUAUCUGCAUCUAUUUGAUUAACCACAAAUGGUUUGGUCGAAAGCGGACAUUAGCAGUUUUUCUGUGCCUUGGAGGACUGGCCUGUCUGAUUGUCAUGUUUCUUCCUGAAAAAAAAGACACAGGAGUGUUUGCAGUGGUGAAUAGCCAUUCUUUGUCUUUACUAGGGAAACUGACCAUAAGUGCUGCUUUUAACAUUGUUUACAUCUAUACAUCGGAGCUUUACCCAACAGUCAUCAGAAAUGUCGGACUAGGCAUGUGUUCAAUGUUUUCCCGAGUUGGUGGGAUUAUUGCUCCCUUCAUUCCCUCACUGGUUGAAAUACGUGCAGUGGUCUUUACCUUUCAUCGUAUUUGGUGUGGCUGGCCUGUCUUCUGGGCUUCUCAGUUUAUUGUUGCCAGAAACCCUCAACAGACCUUUGCUGAAAACACUAUCUGAUCUCCAGAUGUAUUCAUAUCGGAGGCUAGGGGAUGAAGCAUUAUCUUUGCAAGUACUGGAUCAUGAACAGUCUGAAGACAAGGAGAGCACAUUUGGAAGUGAAAGUAAUGAAGAUGAGUUUUAUGAUGCUGAUGAAGAGACUCAGAUGAUCAAAUGAGGAGAACCGAGGUCCUCUCCAUAGUCCUCCAGUCAUCCUUCAUGCCUCUGUUUUCAGACAGAUUCUCUGUUAACAGCAGCAGUCAACAAUGGAAUGAAGGUAGAUUGUGCUCCUCUUGACUCUGGAAUCUUCUUUGGGACAGGAAGAGAAUUUGAGAGAUAUUCCCACAGCAAGGAAGAUGUUGGUAUUCUCACUGGAGGAGCCUCCAAAACUUGUCUUGAACUUGAGAUUAGCUCAGAACUGUGACUCUCCAUGGUCAAAGAGCCUCAAUUUAUAUUCCCAAAUGACAGAAGACAUUUCUGGAAGUUGAGUCUUAGGUGUGCCUUCAAGUCAAUUUUGUUUGUAUUCUGAAUACGACCUAAAGGCAAAAGUAUGAAUUUGUCUAAAGAUUUUGGUGGGCUAAUGGGUACACCCUAAUUGUAAUUUACUAUUGAAUAGUAUUUAAUGUUUAUUCUUACUAGCACUCCUUCCUUAGGAGGCAGAUAAGUGUUUCCAUUUCCACUGGAUAUCGGAGGCAAAGUCCAGGAAAAGUAAGUGAUUUUCUUGAAGGCUCAGAAUUUUUUAGUGGCAAAGCUCAAAAUUUGAGCAUCCAUCUGAGUUACAAACUAAUAUAUCAGGGGUGCUUAUCUUGGGAUCCAUGGACCCCCAGUGUGUCCUUGGAUAGAUUUCAGGGGAUCUGUGAACCUAGAUGGAAAACAAAUUGCAUCUUUAUUUUUACUAACCUUUAAAUGAAAUUUAGCUUUUUCUUCUUAUUAUGAAUGUAGACAAUAAAACAGGAUUCUAAGAAAGGGGCCAUAGGCUUCACCAGACUGCCAAAGGGGUCCAUGACCCAAAAAAAGGUUAAGAACUCCUGCUGUAGAUUUACUUUAGCGAUAUGUGCCUUUAAUCUGAGAAAUGUGAGUUGAGUAAAAAUUAAUCCAUCCAAAAAAAAAAAACUUUCUGAAGUUUUAGGAGCUUGGCUCCCACUGAUGAUGGAAUUGUGCACCUAUUUUCACAUUUCUUUUAUAUUACCUUAGAUAAGUCAUUUGAUGUUUCUGGGCCUCAAUGUUUUGAUUUGUCAAAUGAGGAGGUUGGACCUAUAGAACACUGGUGUCAAAUUCGAAUUGGAGGAUCAUUAAAUCAUUCCCCAGGGACCACAGACUGACUUAGAAAACCACAUAUUAUCAUUACCUACGCAAUGUAGCUAGGUGACUGGAUGCCUAUAAUCAGGAAUACUCAUCUUCAUGAGUUCGAUUCUAGUCUGAGACAAUAAAAGUGUGACCUUGGGUAAGUCACUUAACUGUUUGCCUCAGUUUCCUCACCUUGUAAAAUGAGCUGGAGAAAAAAUAAAUGACAAACCAUCCCAAUAUCUUUGCCAACCAAAUGGGGUCACAAAGUCAGACACAACUGAACAAUAAAUGUUCUGUUUAUUUUAUUUUGUUAAAUAUUUCACAAUUACAUUUCUGUCUGUCUGGAGCCAUACUCAGGGGUGUUGUGGGCUGCAUGCAGCCCCUGGGCCAUAUGUUUGACACCUUUGCUCUAAAGGAGUAUCUCCAUUGUCUUUUGCAGCCCCCUGAAAUAUUUCUGAUCCUAUGGAAUAUUUCUGUUCUGAGGCUGUGGUAUUAGGGUGGUAUUAGGAGCAGCCAGAGAAUCUCCUUUGGACUUUAGGCCCCCAAAAGUGUGCAUGAAAGGAGCUAGGGAGUGAACCCUGAUGCCCCAAUGAAGGAGAGCACCCCGCUUUUCUUUGGAUGAGCUGCUGAAAGGGAUGGAUGCUGCUGGUACGUGGUUGCAGAGAGCAGGGAUCUCUGUCAGGCAGUUUGUCCUCAGUUUGUUUGGCCCUUAUUCUUGGAGGCUAAUUGAUGGGCUCAGACUUUACCUCCCCGGCUUCUCCUUUCCAUAGUUUCUGGCUAUAUUGCCAGUGGGUAUGAGAAGGUCAUAGGAAAUCAGUGUGAACAUAGAUGGUGCUUAGUUCUCCUGAUUGCUUUCCCUUUGAAAAUAUCAAAGUUCACAAAGAUUGCUUUCUCUAGCACAGCUAGAGACACUGUGUGGUGACUGCUUUAAAUGUGUAUGUAGCAAGGCAGCCAGGUGGAGCAAUGGAUAAAGCACUGGCCCUGGAUUCAGGAGGACCUGAGUUCAAAUCUGGACUCAGACACUUGACACUUACUAGCUGUGUGACCCUGGGCAAGUCACUUAACCCUCAUUGUCCCGGAAAAGAAAAAAAAAUGUGUAUGUAGUGUUGUUGCUGAAGGAGAAGUUGCCACUUUGCUAAGAAUAUCAUGGCAUUGCUGGGACAUUUUAUAGGAAUGAGGCCAGGAAUCCCCUGCAGCCAUGCUUUCUGCUCACCGAGUUCCCCUGAGCACUGGGGAAAUCCUAGAGCACAGAUUCUUAACUUGGGAAGAUUUCAGGGGGUCAUUGAACUUCAAUGAGAAGCAGAUUCCAUCUUCAUUUCUGUAUAUUUGACGUCUUUUAUUUUAUACAUUUAAAAACACUAUUCUGAGAAGGGACGCAUAGGUGUCUCUGGCCUGCCAGAGGGGGAAUGCGUGAUGCAGAAAAAGGUUAAAACCCCUUCCCUAAGCCCCAUGCCCUCUGGACUUCAGAUCCACACUACCCACCCUCUCCCUUGGUCCAUCAGUGUGGCUAUGCUCAGAUCACACGAAAUUAAGUUACACUC